CAGUCGCCGCGGUAAUACGAAGGGUGCAAGCGUUAAUCGGAAUCACUGGGCGUAAAGCGUGCGCAGGCGGUUUGUUAAGACAGAUGUGAAAUCCCCGGGCUCAACCUGGGAACUGCAUUUGUGACUGGCAAGCUAGAGUGUGGCAGAGGGGGGUGGAAUUCCGCGUGUAGCAGUGAAAUGCGUAGAUAUGCGGAGGAACACCGAUGGCGAAGGCAGCCCCCUGGGCCAACACUGACGCUCAUGCACGAAAGCGUGGGGAGCAAACAGGAUUAGAUACCCCUGUAGUCCCUGUCUCUUAUAC
rnacentral:rRNA from 1 species